AGUGAGCAACCAACACAAAAAGUAUCGAACACUUUGGCACUGGCAAAUGUUGCAAUAUAUAGUCGGAUAAUCCCCUCCAGUACGGUCAAAGGGCCCCAAGCAGCCGGCCAGACAACUGUAUGGGCCCCGACCACGGGGGUUGACUUUUCUAAAUCUCAAACUGUCGGCGGAUCAUUCGCAAGCACAUAUUAACUUCGGCACAUGGAUGAUCAAAGAGCAGUUCUGAAAGUAAGAUUUGGAUGCACUGCAUUUGUGACUAAAGAUCAGUGUUUUGUUUGCAUUUGAUCAUGUACGAAUUUAGAAGCAAAUCAAAGCAUUACCGCAUAUGAUGAACUUUCAUGGAAUUGGAGAAGAUUCCCUUGGAUGAACGUGUUUAAGAUCAUGGGAGAUUUUCACCAAGGGAAGGAAUCAAAAGUGAGCCACUGGUCAACUCAUCAAUGGUGAUCAUGACAAAGGAGAAUGUCUGAGAGCAUUUUACAUUGACCCCAUGACAUCAUCAAGCUUUGACUCCCUCCCUAAAGUCAGCCAUCAUGCUUUACAUGUCUCGAGCUUGUUAGCCUCGACGUGAUGAUUGACUUUAAGAGGCCAGAAAGAAGACAAGGGAACAUCUCACGAGAUUUUAAGCUGGAUCUUGGAUUAUGCAAAGAGCUUGUCAACCCGAACAUUCUCUCCACUCCAUAGUGUUAGUCAGACGUGAUGACUGAUACCUUAGGAGGCGAGAAAAAAGAUCUAGGAAAUGUCAACCCCAACAUUCUCCAUCUGGCACUCUCACCAACAAUGCUGGUCCACUCCACAGCAUCUGGGAAAAAAGGCAUGGCCAAAACAAGAUCCACCGCUUGCUUUCUCAAUGCCACAGUUCGGGACAUGACAUCUAGCAUACAAGAGUAAUGCUGCUUUGAUGGCACCAAUCCGAAAUCCAUAGCUAUGGAGUGGAACAAAGCUUUUGCAGUAUCAAGUUUUCCAGCGUGUCUACAUGCUACCAAAAUCGAAACAAAACAGCUUUCAUCAAUUGAGUCUAUGAGUUUGAACUCGCUGAAAAGUUCAAAGGCACCCCUGUAGUGAGUGUGGUCUUGAGAAUAACAAGAAAGGAUGGCAUUUGCUGCCACCAGAUUAGAAGGUUCAUAGGGAAUCAUAUCAAAGAGCUUCUUUGCUUGUUCCAAAUGCCCGUUUUCUGCAAACGCACAGAUAAUGGCAGUCCAGGCAACAACAUCUCGCUCGAGCAUUCGAUCAAACAAAUGCUUGGCUUCCCCUGCCAUGUUGUUUUGCCCAUACGUAGCUACCAACAAAGUCCACGACACUAAGCACCUGUCCGGCAUUGCAAUGAGCAGAUUGUAUGCAUCUUCUAGCGAGUUUUUCUGGGUAUAUGCUGUGAGCAAUGCGUUCCAAGAUACCAAAUUGGUCUCUGGCAUCUCGUCAAAGAUGCGCUUGGCUUCUUCCAAGUCCCCGUUGGCAGCACGCGUCUGCAGAGCAAUGUUCCACGUAUACAAAUCCUUCGCUGGCAUUUGGUCAAAGAGCCUCUCGGUGGCAGCUGGUGAGGAUGACAACGCUACCAGCAUGGCAUUUCCCGCCACAAGGUCCCACUCCGGCAUGUCAUAGAACACUCUCUGUGCCUCGUCAGCAAGGCCCGCGGCUCCGUAUGCUGCCAGCAUGGCAGUACACGCGGCAAUGUCUCUACCUGGCAUGCCAUCAAAGAUCUCCUUGGCUCUGUGCAAAUGCCCUUUCUGGGCAUUGAGGACCAAGAGAGUGUUCCAAGAGGCGGCGUUGCGUUGUGGCAUCUGAUUGAAUGUCACUGUUGCGUAGGCAAGAUCACCUCUAUCAGCGUAGAGCGUGAGCAUUGAAUUCCACGAAUACAUGUUCUGCUGGGGCAUUUGAUUGAAAACUCGCACUGCUCGAUCAACACAGCCCGCCUGGACGCAGCAGCUCAAGAGCACCGUCCACGAAAUCAUGUCCCUCUCUGGCAUGGAAUCGAAAGUUUGCUGCGUGCCUUCCAGAUCUCGCCUCUGAGCGAACCAGUUGAGGAGGAUGUUCCAUGAUGCCAAGUCACGCCCCGGGAUCUCGUGAAAAACCUCCAGGAUCUGUUCAAUGCUUGCUCGCUCUUGAGCCGCGAUUGCUCCAAGGAGGACGUUCCAGCAGAUGGUAUCGCGCUCCGGAAGUUCGCGAUCAAACAUUAAUCGCAACAUUGCAUGAUCCAUAGUCUGGGCAUAUGCGUGGAGCAAGGUGGUCCAGGAGACGAUGCUGCGCAUCGGCAUUCUUUCCAGAAAGAGUCGCGCUUGAUCGAGUUUUCCGCCGGCGACAAAUGCUGUGAGCAUUGAAUUCCAAGAGACGAGAGUGCGCUGUGGCAUCUGAUCGAAGACGGAUUGGGCUCGAUCCAAAUCUCCUUGACGGGCAUAUCCAGAGAGCAAGAUAUUCCACGACGCUAUGCUCCAUUCCGGCAUCCGAUCGAACAGGUGCUUCACUCCAUGCGCACUCCCGCUCCUCGCUUGCUCCAAAAGGAUCGAAUUCCAAGAACCCAAGCUCUCGAUCACACCAUUCAUUCAUUCCAAUCAAUCAAUCUACGCCUAGCUACCAGCCAGCAAGAGAAGCAGAAGGGGAGUUACAUGUUGAGGCUUGGAAUGCGGUACUUUCGUGUUAUAGCAUCGACAACUUCCGGGCUUUGUCUACCGUACAGAGCAGUAACUUGCUCGUACAAGACCUUCAUCGUCUCGGGUUUCCUCCCACUGAUGUUACAUAAGAAUGCAAUCCUCGACAGCGUGUGCUUGCUGCCCGAACCGGUCUCACGCAUGAUCCUCAACAGCUGCUCGCAGUCGAUCGGGACCCGAGGAUCCCUGAGCAUGCAGACUGCCGAGUAGUGAUCCACAAACCCAGCACGAAUCCAAUCCUUCUCCUGCUCGCUCAUCCCUUUGAUCCGCUUCUCAAUCUCCACCACCACGUCCAUGACAUCGUCGUCGACUUUGAUCGCCAGCCCCGAUCCCCCGCGAUCGUCUUCGUAGCCGGGAAGAUCACCCAAGACAUGACGGUGGCUCCGCUCCAGCUUGCAUCGCUCGCAGCUACACUCAAAGUUGUACUGCUGGAUCAUCUUCUCGCGGUAGCCGGCGUAGGGAGCCAGCGGCGGCUCCAGAUACGAGAGCAGCACCUCGUCCCCGGCCUUGAGAUCCUUGGCAGCUCUCACGAACACCACAUCGCCGAUGCUCAUCUUGGAAGCGUUUGGAAUGCACGAGUGGUUGAUCAAUCCCACCGAUGCCCACAGCCCCGGAACGUAUGAGCCGCCAGAUCCCUGCGAGCUGUAGCCCACUCGAUCGCGAGCUCUUCGAAUCCUGGCAACGUCCACGCCGCGGCUGCUUCUCGGCGUGGCCGCCACCUUUCCGGUGUUACACUUGAACGGGGCCAAGUCGGGCAGUGCCGUCACCUCGGCUGCCUCGCGGUCGGCCAUGGCAUAGAUCUGCUCGAGCCGCCGCUCGGACUCCACACACGCCUUGACGAUCUCCACCACCAAGUCCUCGUCUGCGUCAUGGGAAGCGGCGCUUGACACAGCCGCGAUUGGAUUGCAAGCGAGCAGCAAGUCCCCGAGUUGGACGUCGCGGGUGAGGAAGAUCCCCCGUCCUCGCCCGUCGUGGGUGUGCUUGAUCUCCAGAGGACCGAAGUAGUCACUGCAUUGCAAUGGCGUGUCGCUGGCCUUGUUGGGGAGGAAGUAAGGAGAGAGAUCGUAGUCGCCGUGCUGGCUUUGCCGGAGGAACACCUUACAUUGGUCGAUCUCGCUCGCUAGAGCUUGCUCUUCUUCUUCUUCUUCAUCGCCUUGUUUCAUGGCGGACUCGAGGCAUUCCAAGGCGAGUUGGUGCUCCUGGAGAGCAGACAGUCCCCGUCCCUUGCUCCACAAGCUCCUCCUUCGAACGGCAAUGCCACCAUCACCAGAAAUGCUCAAGGCCAUGUCGGCGUCCGCCACCGCCUCCUCAAACUUGCCCAGCUUGAGCCGACACUCAGCCCUGCUGGAGAACACGUCCUUCUCCACCGGACCAUACGUGCUCGCGUCCCUGGCCGCGAACACAUCGAUGCACUCGGUGAAGUAGAGCUCCGCCAUGAGGAAGCUGCCCUUGGCCAUGAACCGGCUGCCUUCCCUGCGCAGCUCCUCCAAAGGCCUCCGCCGGAGCCUCUUGGCCAGGCCCAGGAAGUGGAGCGAGGCGGGGCUGGAGACGUGCAUGAUGGAGCGGUAGCACAGCGGCUCCUUGAUGGCGAGGCGGGCAUCGGUGGGAAACAUGGACUGGGCGGCGUCCUGCCUGGUGCAAGUGGAGGCGAGAGCGUUGAAGACGUGGAGGAAGGCGGCGCCGGCGUUGUCGGCGUCGUCGGCCUCGACGAGGCAGAGGAGGAGGCGGGAGUUGGGCACCCGGGCGGAGGCGCAGAUGUUGGCGUGGAUGACGCGGCCGUCGUAGCAAAUCUCCUUGCCCAGCUGCUGCGACCGAAUGUGGGCCUCGCGGAUGUCCAGCGGCUUGAGGCCCAGCAGCGGCGCGGCGGAGAGCUUGCACUUGUCGCUCAUGGCGGCGCCCGCCUCGCUGCACAUCACCUUGAACGCCCUCAUCAGCGACGCCUUGUCCAUCUCUAGGUUAAAAGGUUUAGGGUUUAAACGUACUUUGUCUCUAGUAUAUACUAUGUUUCUGUUUUUCAAAAAGCUGAGUAGCUAGGCCAACUACGUAUCUUCUUGUUAUAUAAUCUCCCACUUAGGUGUUGAAACUUUAACACCCGAGAGUAGGAUAAAAGGGGCUCCGUGCUGCUCAGCAAAUGUAGCAAUUAAAUGGAUCUCUUUCUGGUGCUUACGCUUACCAUCUCUGCUUAUACAUGCACAGGUGACACAAAUCACUUUAACAUUUUUCUUGAGUUGUAAGUAGCUCAAUUCUUUUGGUCUUGUUAUCCAGCAAUCAGUCCGGAAUCGAGCUCUGCCAUCCCACCUAUGAGUGAACCAUCUGUGCAGCUCAAAUGGAACUCCUAUGACUACAUCAUUGUGGGAGGAGGAACUGCUGGAUGCCCAUUAGCCGCCACACUCUCCCAGAGGUUCAAGGUUUUGGUCCUGGAGCGCGGAGGUUUCCCCGAUCCAAUCUCCACACGCCGAGACAGCUUUUUACUGACUUACGAAAACCAACUUGGCAGCAACACACUCGUCCAGGGAUUCGUUUCCACGGAUGGCGUUAGAAACGGCCGGGCUCGAGUGCUGGGCGGUGGAAGCUCAAUCAACGCCGGGUUUUACAACCGAGCGAGUCCUCAAACCAUAGCAGACAUGGGCCUCGAUGGGAGCCUGGCUAACGCGUCCUUCCAGUGGGUGGAGAGAAUUGUGGCGUCAUUCCCAGAGCUUGGGCCAUAUCAGAGAGCGUUCAGGCAGUCCCUGCUCGAGGCAGGAGUGACUCCUGACAACGGUGCCAGCUACGACUUUCAAGUUGGAACCCAAACCGGGGGAACGAAUUUCGAUAGCCAGGGGUUCCGGCGGCCAGCUUCAAUCUGUUUGUUUACGCCAAUCGUACGAACCUGGACGUUCUGCUCUACGCACAAGUUGAGCUCAUCCUUUUCAAAGGUUCAGUCUUUACGUGUUCACAAUGUUCACAAUGUUCCUAACCGCCAAAUCCAGGGCUUCGAGCUUAUGGAGUGCGGUAUACAGACUUCCUUGGCUUACCGCACACGGCUCUUCUUAGCAGACACCCCAAGAGUGAAGUGAUUUUGUGUGCAGGUGCACUAGGAAGCCCGCAGCUGCUCUUGCUGAGCGGAAUCGGGCCAGCAGACCAUCUGACAGCCAUGGGCAUCAAGGUGGUGUUGAACGCAACUGGAGUUGGACAACAAAUGAGAGACAACCCCACAACCCGUCUUGUUAUACUCUCGCCUUCCCCAGUGGAGUCGUCACUUGUGCAAGCCGUGGGAAUCACUGCAGCAUUUGGCACCUACAUCGAGGCUGCGAGUGGUGCUGCUGCAGCAGCUAUACCCGGUGCGCCAGUCGAGUACAUACUCCAGAAAGCCGCCGGACCUUUAUCUGUAGGCAAGCUUGUUUUGGGGUCCACGAUACCAUCGUGGGAGAUCUUUUCGCGUCUGGACAAUUGGAUGUCCGAGACAAUCCGAUAGUCACCUUCAACUAUUUCCAAAACCCCCAAGACCUGGCGACAUGCGUUGCAGGGGUGAACAGGGUCGAGGAGGCCGUUCUCACAAAUGCGUUCCGCCCUUUUGUGUUUGACAUUCAGCCUCUCCCAUCGGGAGGUACAGUUGGAUCGCCCAACCGGAGAAAUCCAGCAUUUGCGCCCACUCUGAACGCAACCAUAGCCACCUAUUGCGUGACAAACGUUGCAACCAUCUGGCACUAUCACGGUGGCUGCGUGGUUGGCCAGGUUGUGGAUUCCGACUAUAGAGUUUUGGGCACCCAAGGACUGAGAGUUGUCGAUGGUUCUACCUUCGUGUUUUCCCCUGGAACAAAUCCACAGGCUACAGUUAUGAUGCUUGGCAGGUACUGACUUCUUUUUCUUUUGGGAGUAUUUGCUGAGUGUAAGAUCUACAGGUAUGUCGGCGUAAAAAUCCUGGCAGACAGGUAAGAAAUACGCGGACCAUAUACGAAGUUUGCGUAAACUAAGCGAAAGUAAACGUAAGGCUUCAAAGAUUGACUUCCGUUGACUUCAAGGAUAUUGCUUAUAGUUACUGUACACCCGGUGAUACACUCCAUCAGUCUCAUGCUGCACGUAAAUAGAUAGAUAGAUAGAUAGAUAGAUAGAUAGAUAUAGACAGUAUAGUUGGAGAUCAUCCACCAAUGUGGACCAUGGGCCUGUUUGGUGUCUUUGCAAGCUCAAACAUCCCAGCAUGAGCUGCUUUCUUUCUCUUAACCUGCCAGGGAGGAAACGAAUAGAUACAUAUCAAGCCAUUCUUAUGGAUACUCGAGAACCCACCGCUAGACUGAUGAUUUGCUCGAGCUCAUCACUGGGAACGCCACUUCUUAACGCGUCCCUUAGGCUAACCUGUAAGCAGUGAAUCAGUGAGAGAUCAUCGAUCAGUUAUACAUGCAAAAGCACCUCGGCUGUUCCAAAGAGGCAGACUUUGAGAUUUCCAUCGGCCAUUAGUCUCAACCGAUUGCAUCCGCCGCAAAAGUGCUGUGUCAUGGAGCUUAUGAACGAGACAGAGCCUUGGUAUCCCUCGAUGUGGAAGUUCUUUGCAGUGUCGUUCGGAUGAUCACAGUGACGCUUGAGAGACGGGUAACGUUGGGCCUUCACAGCGAGAGCUAGACUUAGAGUUUGAUGGAAAUUUUUUGGCUUACCAGCCUCGAAUGCAUCUCGGCGUAAGAGACUAGUUUCUUGGAGCUCCACACGUUUCCGUCAAACGGCAUAAACUCGAUAAACCGGACGUUGAUCGGUUUGUGCCUUGUGAGCUCCGCAAAGUCGGCGAGUUCAUCGUCAUUGACGCCUCGCAUCACUACACAAUUGACCUGCUUGAACUUCAAUCCCAGGGAAGGAAACCAACGAAGUCACACAUGUACCUUGACGGGAUUAUAGCCCAGCUCCACUGCCGCAUCGAUGGAGUCAAGAACACGAUCAUGGCCCUUGCGCCGCGUGAGGAGCUCGAACUUUGCCGGGACCAGCGUGUCGAGACUGAUGUUGAGCUGAUUCAAUCCUGCCUGCUUUAGCUGCGGCAGCUUGCGCUCCAGAACCAGGCCGUUGGUUGUCAUGGCCAGAGUCUUGACACCGCUCAAGCCGCUCAAGCGAUGGCAUAUGUCCGUCAAGUCCGCCCUCACGGUGGGCUCUCCUCCCGUGAGCCGUAUCUUGUCCACGCCGCCGCCAACAAACACCUUGGCCAGAGCCACGAUCUCGUCCUGCGACAGCAGGUGUGCGCCGGGCGUGAGCUUCACCCCUUCCUCGGGCAUACAGUAGUGGCAGCGAAGGUUGCAGCGCUCCGUGAGAGAGAUUCGCAGGUAAUUGUGCCUCCUGCCGAAAGAGUCCACCAGCAUAUCCGACACACUCGGCCCCGCCUCGUCUUCUCGCUCCGCCGCCACACUGCUGCUGCUGCAGCUGCUACACGCGGCUUUCGUGGCCACGGAUCUUCCGCCCCCGCGCCAGUGAAAUCUGGAGGGGAAUCUACUCACCGCAUCGCGCAAUCCAGAGACGAGGCUCCUGUAGGAUCUUGUCAUCAUCGAUUAAACCCUAAGAAGGAACGCGCCACAUACAUACGCCUCUUUGUAAUUUAAAAUGGUAGGUCAAGGGGAAAAAGUAGCCCUUUUUCACCUUCGCGUAAUUUCUUGUAAUUUCGCCUCUUCGUUUCCACAGAGCCAUGCCACCUUGGCUUGGGCGGCCCUUCGCAACAGCGUUACAGCACCCAAAAUUAAAGUUGAUCUCCAGCUUCCAAAGCUUUAUAUUAAGCCAAAAUCCAAGCUAUUAUAUGUAUUUCAAUUUGACCAAGCACCUAGAAACGCUUAUAGCCCCUUGGAGAUCAUAGCGAGCCAGGGCGAGCUUGGCUGGCCUUCGCAACAGCAGUGGCGGCAGCACCACUUCCACGCCCAAAACUAAAGCCCCGAGUUCCGUCCGGCAUUCGAGGACCUGGCGGCGGCUUUGCUACCAUCGUUUCGCCAGUGGAAGGGCUGCAACUUAUCUGUGGAGAUGUCCCCAGCAUGCCACCGUUGGCGUUGAUCAAUCCUCCUCCGCCUCUCCCUCGCCCUCGGCCCCCUCGUCCACGACCUCUUCCCCCGGCCUGCUGCUGGACUCCACGCUUUGCACUGUCUUUCUCCGUGUCAGGAGCUCCCGUUGCCUAAGAACACGAAAGUCAGUGACGAGAGGAGGGAUGAAAAAUGCCAGUACCGUUGUUUCAUCUGUCGAUAGUGAUGCUUCUGAGGCGCCCUCACCUUUACUUUCCAGAUCCUCUUCGUCCGUCGAAGACUUUCGGCCCUUGGCUCCAUGAUUGUGCUUGCUGGCAGGAUACUGAAAACACUCCACAAGAGUUUUUCCUCAACUUCAUCCAAAGCGAAGUCCAUACCAUUCGUCUGAGCAGAAGACGUACGUGAAGACCGCUCCUCCAGUUUCGUUGGUCAGUCAGCUCCGCAACCUGAGCAAGCCGAUAAGAUAAUCCAAGUAGAAAAAAAAACAUUAUCUGCAUGACUUACAGCUUUCUCGGCUUGCUCCAGAGUCUCAUACUCUACCAGAGCAUGCAGCUUAUUACUAACAACUCUGUCGGUUUUAGAGUGCUUCGCCAAUGCAGCACUAUUGACACUGUUUGCAGAUCCUGGCUCGCACACUCUUACCAUUUUCACGCUGCCAGAACACAACAUGUCCAACAUGAACAAGAGCCCUCAAAAUCAGCGAGUACAUACCUUCCAAUCGUUCCAAAUAGCUUUUCUAGGCUUUGUAUGGAGUGAUCCUCCGGCAGGUUCUCAGCUACGACUGUUCGUCCCUUUAAAACGUAAAACAGAUCAGGUGGCUAGUUUCUAGCCAGUAGAAGGGCUUACCUGGAUUUCGUCAAGGUCAAUAUCAGCAAGUGGCUCAGCCCGCCUCACUUUCUUCCCGUCUUCGCUGACUACCUGGAACAUUUAAGAAUUUCAGAUACUUCUGGAAUAUUUGUGCGAACAACGUACAAGUUUGGAAGAGGAUCUUAGAGCUGCAGCUAAAGCACCGUAAUUCUUUGUAAGCUGCUUGAUCUUUCUGAACGAUCCAAUGAUCGGUAUCGGAACUGUCCAAAACGAAGGCUGUAAAAAGCUUGUUUCCACGAACAGAAUAGGCGGGCCUUACCGAAACCUUCAGGAUCCUUUUUGAUGAACUUCAUCAAGUAGUUAUCUGUUGGAAGGUUGGCAUCACUGAAAUAAAACUCCACCUAUCACAAACCGUCAGCAGGAAAGACUAUGUAGAAAGACAACGAGACUUCACCUGCUGGACGACUUGAGUGCGAGUAUCUUCACUGAGAGCAGACGACUUCUGAGAGGACGAUGGCACCGAAGCAUUCUGGUCAUCCACGUCCACAACCGAGGGAGCUUCCGGCGGAGAUGGCUGGACUGGCACUGGUGGAAACGAGAGAACACCUGGCUGACCAGGCUGCAAAGCCGCGGGAGGAGGCUGAGGAGACGUCGCCUUGGGAACAAAGACCGGUGCUCCAGCAUUUAGUUUGCUCAGAGAAAUCUGCCGAGUGAGUGUUUGAUUCUGCUGCUGCUGCUCGGGCACAACACCGGGAUCACUCCCAGAUCCGGUAUCGACACUGGGUGUGUCCACGCCUUUUUGCGUUUCGGUGAUGUCCGAAUCCGAUUUGGCAGUGCUCACUUCUGCCACUGCCUUUGCGAGCUCAGACUUUACGACCCAGACGCCAGCCCCGCGAUUCACCACCUUGUUGUGCUUUGGAGCAGCAAAAGCUGUGGUGGCGGCGGCGGCAGCAGUCAUGGCGUUGUCGCUUCUCGAUGGCGAUGAUGACGAUUCCGUUUGCUGCAUCAAGGUUCCUCCUGAUUCAGCCAUGGAUCGAUCGGCGUCAGCGAUGGAAUGACCUAAACGGGUGAGCUACGAUUCCAAAAACCCUAGUGAAAGAAGAAGGCCGCCAUACCUCACCAGUGGCCGCCAGGCAAUGAAUUCAACUGUGCCCUCGCCGCGCCCGCCGCCGCGCCAAUGGAUCGAUCCACGGAAUGGAGGAAGGAGACCGCGAAUGGCAGCGAUCGAUCGAUGGACUGGCGGUGUGUGUGCGUGACACUCGCUCCGUCUGUGGCUAUGGCGAUGAAGCUCCGAGCGAUGAUGCCCUAGUGGCGGUGGCGGCAGAGAGAGGGGGAGGGUCGCGCCGCGCCUCCUUCCCCUUCUAGACACACUACAUGUCCUCCGUUUUAUACUGGCACGUCAGCCGUACAGGUGGUCGUGUUGUCCAUUUCGAUCCACCGUACGGACAUUUUCUUUUUUGCCUAUAGUGUGCCCUAGAUUUCGGGUUUUAGGGUUUUAGCGAUGAGCAGCACGAGGAGAGCGGCAAAUGCCGCAUUCCAGGUCUGGCACCAGCGCUCCUUCUCUUCCGGUUGGAUUUCGGCGCUGCUGUCGAGAGGGAAUCUUCCUCCUCCUCUGGCUGCUCCAUUUUCCCCAUGGAUCCAGGCGCGCUACAUGGCCGCUCUUGCUCGCCCCGCCGCACUGGAUCAGUCGUGGCGAGACACGAUGAACAAGAUCCGAAAUAUCGGAAUCUCGGCUCACAUAGACUCUGGCAAGACGACUCUUACGGAGCGCAUCUUGUUCUACACCGGGCGGAUCGAUUCCAUCCACGAGGUGCGUGGCAAGGAUGGCGUCGGCGCCAAGAUGGAUUCCAUGGACCUGGAGCGCGAGAAAGGGAUCACCAUCCAGUCCGCAGCGACGCACUGCGUUUGGGGUGACCACCAGGUGAGAUGGACGUUUUUCAUUCCCUUACAAAGUUUCGACUUUGUUUCUUUCUAGAUCAACAUCAUCGAUACUCCUGGGCACGUCGACUUUACGAUCGAAGUGGAGCGAGCUUUGCGCGUGCUGGAUGGCGCAAUUCUUGUGCUGUGCAGCGUGAGUGGUGUGCAAAGCCAGUCCAUUACUGUAGACCGGCAAAUGAAGAGAUACGAUGUACCUCGUCUGGCGUUCAUCAACAAGCUCGAUCGCGCUGGUGCCGAUCCAUGGAGAGUUAUCGAACAGGUGAAAACUCUAGGUGCAUCCUUUCGUUCUUUAUAAUUGUUUGUUUCUUUUGGCAAAUUAGCUUAGGAGCAAGCUGCGCCAUAACUGUGCCGCUGUGCAAAUGCCAAUUGGUCUUGAGGGCGAACAUCGGGGUCUCGUUGAUCUCAUCCACGAAAGAGCGUUUUAUUUUGAAGGAGCUCACGGGUUCGUGUGUUUAUUACUUUAGACGUAUUUCAACAAACAUCUUCGUACAGGGAAAAACUUGUCCAGAAGGAAAUCCCUCCCGAGCUAAUGAAAGAGGCAGCUGACAGGCGGCGAGCACUUAUUGAAAUUGUGUCGGAAGUUGAUGACGAUCUUGCAGAAAGAUUUGUCAACGACGAACCGAUAACGCCAGCUGAACUUGAAGUAAGAUGUCUGCAUUUUCUUUUUUUGUUAUGAGCUCGGCAGGAUUGCUUGGUUUACAGGCGGCGAUUCGACGAGCUACAAUAGCGUUACGGUUCACUCCAGUUUUUAUGGGUAGUGCCUUCAAGAACAAGGUGAUGGUCAUGGUCAUCAUUCAUGGGUUCUGUAAACGAAAGUUUUGGUGCAGGGUGUCCAACUGCUUUUGAACGGAGUGUGCUCAUUUCUGCCGUGUCCCACCGAGGUCUCAAAUUACGCCUUGGAUCAAAAUAAGAAGGAAGAAAAGGUCAGCCUGAUGAACUUGUAACAUUGAGUUUUGUUUGAUGUUUUAUUGUUUCUAGGUUGCGAUAACUGGGUCUCCAACUGGUCCCUUCGUAGCUCUGGCCUUCAAACUUGAAGAAGGCCGGUUUGGACAGCUGACGUAUUUGAGGUAAUGGCUGUUCUUCAUUUCAAGUUGAUAUCUAGCAAUCUUCGUUUAGAAUUUAUGAAGGCACAAUUAGGCGUGGGGAGAAUCUACUCAAUGUUGUUACUGGCAAGAAAGUUAAAGUCAGUAACAUCGGUUGCCAUUCUAUCCUUUUGCUGAGCAUGACUCUGGCCAUUGCAGGUUCCAAGACUGGUGAAAAUGCACGCAGAUGACAUGGAGGUAACUUGUCUUUCGUAUUUUAUCUAGCUCAGUCUUGCUGGACAGGACAUCCAAUCGGCACAUGCUGGAGAAAUUGUUGCAAUGUUUGGGAUAGAGUGUUCGUCAGGUUCUGCUUGAUUGAUGCUUGCUUGUGCAUCUUGAGGUUAUUAUCGUUGGGUUUUCCAGGCGAUACCUUCACUGACGGUUCAGUAAGGUAUACAAUGACGUCGAUGACUGUUCCCGAACCGGUCAUGUCUCUCGCGAUCGCUGUUUCGUCAAAGGAUGCAUCAGCUCAGGUUCACAAUGUCUUCUAUUUGGUUUUUACACAAGCCGAUUCUUUUGUAUGGCAGUUUUCCAAGGCGCUGAACCGAUUUCAGAAGGAAGAUCCUACCUUCCGUGUUAAGCUAGAUCCGGAAAGUGGACAGGUAUGGAUGUUGUAUGCUUCAGUAAUAUUUUUUCUGACCGUUUGUCUCGUUUCAGACCCUCAUUUCGGGGAUGGGGGAGCUGCAUCUUGACAUUUACGUGGAACGCAUGAAGAGAGAAUAUAAGGUUGACAGGUGCACUUCUGUUUUGCUCUUCAUGACGCUGAAGCUAUCAGGUAGAAGCAAGUGUUGGCAAGCCUCAAGUGAACUUCAGAGAGGCCAUCAGCACCAGGGCGGAUUUCAACUAUUUACACAAGAAGCAAAGUGGUGGCCAGGGUCAAUACGGUCGCGUGGAAGGGUGAGCUUCUCUUGCUUUUCCAUGGCUACUAUACUAAUCUUGCUGGAUAAAUAAACAGCUACAUUGAACCGCUUCCAGAGGAUUCCGAAGUCAAGUUUGAGUUUAAAAAUAUGCUUGUCGGUCAAGCAAUUCCAAACAGCUACAUUCCUUCAAUCGAAAAGGGAUUCAUCGAGGCUUGCAACUCGUAAGCUAGUGUUUGUACUCGUGCUCCUGGUGAUUGACAAAACGGCUGCUUUCUUUUGCCAGGGGCUCAUUGAUUGGCCACCCCGUUGAAGGAAUUCGUAUUGUCCUGACCGACGGUGCUGCUCAUGCGGUAGAUUCCAGUGAGCUUGCUUUCAAGCUGGCUGCUCUGUACGCAUUUAGACAGGUAAAACACAUCCCUUAUUGUUAUAAACUUUUGAUAGAACACGUGCCGUUUUGCUGUCUAGUGUUACCCUGCUGCCGAUCCUGUCAUUCUAGAACCAGUCAUGCUUGUCGAGAUCAAAGCCCCGACGGAGUUCCAGGGACCUGUGGUUGGCGACAUCAACAGGUAUGGCAUUAGCGUUAGUUCUUCUCUUGCUCUAACACCACGGCGGCGACAGGCGCAAGGGCAUGAUCGUCAACAGCGAGCAAGAGGGCGACGAUGCGGUUAUCACGUGUCACGUAAGUCUUUCGUGCCCGAGUUGUAUCAGCUAACCUUUUGUUCUGGAUUUCCAGAUUCCUCUCAACAACAUGUUUGGAUACUCGACGUCGCUGCGAUCAAUGACUCAGGUUUGUCAAUCUCAGAGUUUGUGUAGGUGUCCACAUUAAAAAUGUGUCACGGUAAGCAGGGUAAAGGAGAGUUUACAAUGGAGUACUACAAGCACUUGGGUGUGUCGGCCGAGGUCCAAAGGCAGCUAGAGACGAGCCACAAGAAGGGCAGCGAUGACAAGAAAUAAAAAAUACUAGGAAUCAUUUGAUCGAUUCGAUCACGAGCACACAACACUAAUUUAAACGAAAGUGUAAUAAAUUUGAAUUCCCCGCCAUUUUGGUUUAGGGUUCUUGCGAUGGAGGAGGCUGGAUCGCCCGAGUCGAGCAAGAAGCGGCAGCGGGAGGCGAGCGCCGAGAUGGAAGCCAGCAUCCAGCAGAUCCAGCACAAGAUCGAGCAGUUCACGCAGCAGGUACUUGGCGAUAAAUUCCCCCCUCCGCCAGCUUGCUCGAUCGAGAUUACAUAGGUGUCUGGUCUCUUGGAGGCCGGGAAGUCCUUCUUCACCGAAGUAGCCAGCGCGUUCGAGGAGAGCGUCGUCCAGUAUCCUUGAUCUCCUAUCGAUCGCUUGCGUUUUCUUCCCUUGAUCUCUCGCGCAGAUUGCACCAGAAGCAAGUGGAGAAAUGGGAGGAGGAGAUUGGGAUGCUGCGCGCCGUGGAUGCCGUCAACGAGGAGAUGAGCGCCAGGCUGAGCAACGCGCAAUCGCUCAUCAGCAGCACCGUCACAGCUGUGGAUCACGAGUAGAAAUUUAAAAUGGAGCUAGAUUUUGCUCAAGAACCCUAAAAUGCCAGGGAAAUCUCUCUCUUCCAGGGUUCUAGGCCAGGGUUCAAGAUGGAGCGAUGCAGGUAGCGCGGUCAGGCGCCGCCGCAGCAUCAUCACUGCGACGAGCAGCAAUCCAGCGCCUUGGCGUGGAGGAUUUGACGGCGGCAGUGUCGCGGAUCAUCGCGGAUCAAGGCCACUGCGCGCCCAGUACUUACGGCUGCCUCCUCCAGGCAUGCGGUCGGCUGCGCGCCCUCAAGCAGGGCCAGCGCCUCCACGCUCACAUCCUCUCGCGGCGCAUCGACCUCCACAACCACAGCUUCCUCGCCAGCGAUCUCAUCGUCAUGCACGCCAAAUGUGGCAACCUCGCCGAGGCAGAGGCCCUGGCGGAUCGAUUCGCGAGCGUCUACUCGUGCACGGCCAUGAUCCGGGCGUGGAUGGAGCACGGCCGCCCCGACAAGGCCAUGGAGCUCUUCGAUCGGAUGGAAGUGAGGCCCAAUUGCCACGCACUCAUCGCGCUCGUCAACGCGUGUUCUUGCCUGGGCAAUCUGGCAGCGGGGCGGAGAAUCCAUUCGCAGAUCAGCGACCGCGACUUCGAGGAGAACUCCGUACUGGGCAAUGCGCUCAUCAGCAUGUAUAGCAAGUGUGGGAGCCUCAUCGACGCGAAACAGGCCUUCGAUCGGUUGCCAAGAGCUUCCAAGCGCGACGUCGUGACUUGGAAUGCCAUGAUCUCGGCGUUCCUCCGCAAUGGAUCCGCGCGAGAGGCGCUCCAGCUGUUCCGGGACAUGGACCGCGACGGAGCUCCGCCACCCAACAGCGUCACCUUUGUCAGCGUCCUGGAUUCGUGCGUGGAGGCGGGGCUCUUGUCGCUCGAGGACGUGAGGGCGAUCCACGGCAGGAUCGUGGGCGCUGGGAUCGAGAGGGAGGCCUUCGUUCGCACGGCGCUGGUGGACAGCUAUGGGAAACUUGGCAGCCUCGACGACGCGUGGGAAGUGUUCCUCCGGAAGGGCGACGAGGAGCCCAGCACCAGUCUGGUGACAUGCUCGGCCAUGAUCUCGGCGUGCUGGCAGAAUGGAUGGCCCCAGGAGUCACUCCGGCUCUUCUUCGCGAUGAACUUGGAAGGAACAAAGCCCAGUGGAGUGACGCUCGUCUCGGUGCUCAAUGCCUGCUCCAUGCUGCAGGUUGGGUCGGCCACCGCAUUCGUUCUCGAGCAGGCCAUGGAGGUCGUCUCGGCCACCAGGGACAACGUUCUCGGCACGACGCUGCUCACCACUUACGCUCGAUCCAACGACUUGCCGCGAGCAAGAGCCACGUUUGAUGCCAUCCAGAGUCCCGACGUCGUGUCGUGGAACGCCAUGGCUGCGGCCUAUCUCCAGCACCACCGUUCCCGAGAGGCGCUCGUUCUGUUCGAGCGAAUGCUGCUGGAAGGCGUGAGACCAAGUGUUGCAACCUUCAUCACUGCUCUCACUGCCUGUGCUGCCUAUCCUCCUCAAACCGCUAGCGCGAUUGGGAAGAGGAUUCAGUCGCUGCUGGAGGAGGCCGGGCUCGAGGGAGACACUGCAGUCGCCAACGCCACCCUCAACAUGUACGCCAAGUGUGGAAGCUUGGCUGAUGCUCGGGCCGUGUUUGAAAGGAUAUCUCCCGCUCGCCGGGACUGUAUCACCUGGAACUCGAUGCUGGCGGCCUACGGACACCACGGGCUUGGAAAGGAGGCGUUUGAGCUCUUCCAGGCGAUGGAGGCCGAGAAGCUGGUGAAACCAAACAAGGUGACUUUCGUUGCGGUUUUGGACGCGAGUACUAGCCGGACGAGCAUCGCCCAAGGCCGGGAGAUCCACGCCCGUGUCGUGAGCAACGGGUUUGAGUCGGACACCGUGAUCCAAAACGCGCUGCUCAACAUGUAUGCCAAGUGCGGAAGCUUGGACGACGCACAAGCCAUCUUUGACAAGUCGAGUAGCAACCAAGAGGACGUGAUCGCUUGGACGAGCCUGAUCGCCGGGUACGCGCAGUAUGGCCAGGCGGAGAGGGCUCUCAAGCUGUUUUGGACGAUGCAGCAGCAGGGCGUGAGGCCCAACCACGUAACUUUCAUCAGUGCUCUCACAGCUUGCAACCAUGGUGGGAAGCUCGAGCAAGGAUGCGAGCUCCUGUCCGGCAUGACACCCGACCACGGCAUCCUUCCCGCCUCCAAGCACUUCAGCUGCAUCGUCGAUCUGCUGGGACGGUGUGGGCGACUGGACGAGGCCGAGAAGCUGCUGGAAAGGACGUCCCAAGCCGACGUGAUCACCUGGAUGGCUCUUCUCGAUGCUUGCAAGAACAGCAAGGAGCUGGAGAGAGGAGAGCGCUGCGCGGAGCGGAUAAUGCAGCUCGACCCCGAGGUGGCGUCGAGUUACAUCGUUCUGGCGAGCAUGUAUGCUGCUGCGGGUCGGUGGAAUGAGGCCGCCACUAUCCGCAAGACAAUGCUGGACAAAGGAAUUCGAGCAGACCCCGGCUGCAGUGCUGUGGAGGUGAACCAGGAGCUGCAUUCUUUCUCGGCCGGAGAUAAGUCCCAUCCCAAGUCGGAGGAGAUCUACUUGGAACUGGAACGGCUUCACUGGAGUAUCAAGGCCGCUGGCUACGUCGCUGACACUGGGCUGGUGCUGCACGAUGUGAGCCAGGAGCACAAGGAGAGGCUGCUCAUGAGGCACAGUGAGAAGCUGGCGAUUGCAUUUGGACUGAUGAGCACCCCCAGUGGAUCACCCCUCAGAGUGAUCAAGAACCUCCGCGUCUGCAGCGACUGCCAUACAGCAACCAAGUUGAUAUCCAAGGUGACUGGACGUGACAUCCUGAUGAGAGACUCGAGUCGCUACCACCACUUCACCAGCGGAACCUGCUCGUGUGGUGAUUACUGGUGACGAAACAGACACAGAUUGGGCCGACUAGCGCUACUUAUGGCUGAUAGGAGAUGGAGUACGAGCCUGUUUCCGGGUCCUUAACGCUCUUGAAAUUGUCAACGCUCAUACCAAAUCGACCCAGGACAGAGUUUCCAAGCUCCUUGAGCUUCCCUGGAGUCCAGGUUAUUAGUCUCCAUUCUCAUCAACCAAAAAGCUUACCCAGCAUCUCUUCUUUCAUCUUUUCACGUCGCUCGGCUACAACUGGUUCUAAUCGUCUCACCGCCUUGGCUGCUUCUUUAUUUGCCGGAUCAAGCUCCAGCACCUUCUUCAUAUCUGUAAUGAUCAAGUAAGAGGUUGUCCGCCAAGGAAGAAAGCUUAGCUUAGCCUACCGGCAAGGGCGUCUUCUAGCUUGUCCACUUUUUCGUGAGCUUGCGCUCUCCUUAAGAAUGCCUUGAUGUAAGCCGGAUUCAAUUCGAUGGCUUUGGAACUCUCGUGAACUGCUUCUUCGUACUCGUCCUGCCAGCAAAAGAAAAGCAAAGUGAUGAGAAUCAAAAAGAGCAACACCCAAGCUCCCUCACAAUCUGUAGAUAACACAUUGCCCGGUUACACAGACACAUUGAGCAGAUUUCCUUUGCAUUUGUGUUGUUGUUGUCAGCCAAGAGCUCCAAAGCACCUUGGUAGGCCGCGAGCGCGUCUCGAUACCUCCCUUGCGCGUACGCCGCAUUCCCCUCGGCCUUGGCACGCUCUGCCAGGGGAACAUCCCUCUGGAAACAAGGGGCCAGUCGGGAAUCGGGAUCAAUCAAUCGACCUGGAAUCUCUCUCACCUCGCGCUGCUGAUCCUCCGUCAGUGCGUCCUCGAACCGAUCCUCGCCAUCGCUAGCCGUCUCCCACCCCUCGGCGGCGACGCCGGGCGGCGCCCUCUUCGUCUCCUCCUCCUCCUCCUCUUCUUGGAUUCGCACCAUUGUUGGAAUAAAAGAGCCCUAGAGAUGCGAUUUUAACAUCAUUUGGACAUUGGACAUAAACUAUAUGAUGUGGCAAAAUGAUGAUUAGGUCUAUCAAAGGAAAGUAUUUAAGUGGGAGGGGCGGUAUAUGCUCGGCACGGGUAUAAUGUUUGUGAGAGGUAAGCUAGGGAUGGUUCGUUAAGCGCGAACGAGGGCAAGGGUUUUUGUGCUCGGGAGAGGGGGCGCGCGGCAAAGCGGAGCGCGGACAAGAGGAGCUAUCGCCGUGGCUGCGCGAACCAUGUAAGUUCCUCGAUCGUCUCUCCGAUUUGUCUCCCGGAAAUUAGGGUUUAAGGGAAUGUAGGCGUCCCUUCUUUCCUCUGGCUCCUCCUUCCCAGCUCGCUCUCUCGCUGCAUGUAGUUUCCAUCCAAAGGGGAUGAGCUAGCGACGCGCGAGCGCAUCAAAAUGUAGCUGUGUAGCUCGCGCAUACAGAGGGUUUAUACUCGUGCUCGUCUUUUUUGCCAUUCAAGGUUUUGGGCGACGGUGAGGAGCUUCGUCGAGGCUUAUGGGGUCGGGAAACACGUUUCACAGCGGUGCUACGUCGGCUGCUCCAUCCAUUUCCAUGGCGUUUUCUGAGAGCGGGGGCUGGUCUUGGUUCCGUGGGGGGCCUGCAAAGGGAGACGAGUUGCCACCGGAGGAUCACUGGUCCGAGGACAAGGAGAAGAGCGCGAGCUGGGCGGUAAGCGAUGACGUGCCCGAGCACCGGAGCGUGCCAUCCGGUCUUGCUUCCCCACAGAUGACACAGGAAGCCGCCGUUGCCGCCGCCGCCGCCGUCGACAAGGCAGGUGACAACAUUGGCGUGAACAUUUUCUCGAGUUCAUUGCCUGACUUGUUCCGAAACAAACGUAAGCUUUCGUAAGCCUCCCUCGCACAUUCUCUGCUUACCAUUGUUUGCCUGUGUUUGCAGUAGGACUGCUCGAUGUUCAACAGCCGCCCUCAUCGGAGGCCGACGAGGAACCUGAAGACAAUGAGAUUCCUCUGGAAGAACUGGAGCUGCAUGCUAUCGGCAGUCUGCUUCCUGACGACGACGAGUUGUUGGCCGGUGCUCUCACUGAUAUGCCACCGGGGUCGUCCAGCACCCAGGAUUCAGAGGAUCUCGACUUUUUCAGCAACGGAGGGGGCCUUGAACUCGACGGUGAUGGCUUUUCUGCCGAAGAACCGACUUCGCGCACGAUUUUUGUACGGAAUAUAGAUAGUAAAGUUUCGGAUGACGAGCUUAGAGCUGUUUUUGAGGUGAGUAUCGGAAUUAUCGCCGCCUGCGGGCUUACUGACCUUGAAUGCUUCCUCGUGUGCGCAGCGUUUUGGUGACAUUCGUACGCUGUACACUGGAUGUAAACCCGAAGGUUUGAUUUUAGUCUCCUACUACGAUUUGCGGGGUGCCAAGCGCGCGAUACGUGCGCUCCAGAGCCGGGUGCUGUGGGGCCAAAAGUUGGAGAUGCACUUCUUAUUUCCAAAGGUGCGUUACCUACCUUUGUUUUCGCUGUAUACUGAGACUGGACAAUUUGCAGGAUAGUCACCCAUACGACACAAGCCUUGGCAUGGUUGCGGUUUUCAAUGUCGAUCCCGCCGUGUCAAACGACGAUCUCAAAGAACUUUUCGGAGUGUAUGGGGACAUCAAGGAGGUAAACCAUCUAUACUGCUAGGCAUGGCGUUUGUAAGCUGGCCGUUUUUGUUUUGUAAGCAGGUCCACGAGACGCCGCUUAAACAUCGACACAGGUUCAUCGAGUUCUAUGAUUCACGAGCUGCAUGCGCUGCGCUUCGGGUUCUGAAUAAGCGUGAUCUACUCGCCAGGCGAACUCGACUGGACCCGAGGUAUGAAGUGCUGGUGAAGUUAUCCGCUGCUAGUAAAGCUUACCUUCCCUACCUUCAGCUCAAUAUUGCAGUUCAACGAUGACGUUGAUAACGAUGAUCCUCUCGUGCAGUCUCAGCAUCUGUUCAAUGCGACAGGUUGGACAAAUCUUUUUUUCCUUUGCUCUUAGCAUUUACUUUCCUUCAUUUGCAGGCUAUAGUGAAAGCGAGGCUUUGAGGGAGCUUCACCAGCAGGCGAAGUUUGCGUCGUUUAGCCACCCUUGGAACUCCCUGGCGGGUGGUUUAUCUUCACCAUCCUCCGUCAUGGGAAAAGCUGGUGAUGUUGGGCUGGGCUAUCACUCGUAUCCGGAUUUUGAUUACGGCCUUAUGAACCAUAUUCGGCAGAGCUCGGCCAUGUCAGCUUUACGUGCACGUGAAGGACUGGAAGAGAUGCCUCUUCAUAGGAGUCCUGGUUACGAGCAUAGAGGUAGCGCCUUUCUUUCCUCACCUCUUGUGGAUCUCAAUUCUGUGUUGUUUCUCAGGCCUGGCAGUAAAUCCUCGACCAGGAUUGGUGACAACGCCAAGCUCGCCUUUCCUGUGGGGCAAUGCUCCGCAGAGCUCUCCGUUGCUGUGGCCACCAUCAGCUCAUUUGUAUGGUCAUCCAAAGGUUCAUGGUUGCAGCCUGCAGAGCCACUUACUCAAUCCGGUCCUGGCUUACCCUCAAGUAGGAUGCCUACCUUACGGUGAGAAGUUACGAGACAGAAGGCGCGGGUAUUUAAGGCAAUCGGCGCCUGGAGGAUACCUCGGGCUUACAGGGUCACUGAGGCUGGGGUCAAGAAGUCAUCCUGAUCGCAAGAGUGAUUUGUCGAAGGGCGCUCUUUCCAGCGGCGUGGGCCGAUUCAACAGCCGGCACAGAAGCCGCAGAGGCGACAGUAACGCAGCGGACAAAGAACAGUUUCACCUGGACCUGGAUCGUAUAGUCAGCGGAGAGGACAAGCGUACGACGCUCAUGCUUAAAAAUAUUCCGAACAAGUGAGUACGCUCGAGAGUCACGAGUGGUUUGUGUUCUGAGGCUCGUGUUUGCAGAUACACGUCGAAGAUGCUCUUGGCAGUGAUCGAUGAGGCAAACCAGGGCACUUACGAUUUUAUCUACUUACCAAUCGACUUCAAGGUGUGUGAUUUGUCAUAUGAUAUUCUGGACUAACCUUACGCUGCAACGCAGAACAAGUGCAAUGUGGGGUACGCUUUUGUGAAUAUGAUAGAGCCUUCCUACAUUGUCUCGUUUUAUAAGGUAAGCAACACAGCAGGCUUGGAUCGCGACGCUUACCGUUGUCUGUUAUCCAGGCUUUUAAUGGCAAGAAAUGGGAAAAGUUUAAUAGUGAGAAGGUUGCAUCGGUAGCUUAUGCUCGAAUUCAAGGCAAAGCCGCUCUUGUGGCUCAUUUCCAGAACUCGAGCCUGAUGAACGAAUGUCGUCCUAUAGUGUUCGGCGAAGAAGGGAACACUCCGGACGAUCCAGGCAAAGAAAUCGGUUUGUAACUCGAGUUUUCUCUGUUGUAUUGUUCCUAAUGGUUACUACUGUUACAGGGAUUGUAAUGGGUUCCGAGGAAGCGACGAAACUGUAAAACACGUGAGGGUAACACAGAGAGGCAAGGAAGAUGAUGAGCACCUCUUCAAGCGAAGGUUUUGAUGUAGAUUCCUUAGGACUGGCUCAUCCAUCUAUCGUUGAGGUUCCAGUUUUUUUCCUUUCGUUUUUCUUUUUUAUCUUUUUCUACGUUCUUCCUUUUGCUUGUAAAAAAUAAUGAGCUAGUCAUGGAAGAAGAUCCGGCAGCCGCGGUAGCAGCAGCAGAUUUUAUGUAAAAAGAUCAGAAGAAGAAAGUUUGGUGUUCGGCAAUCAGUGGCAGUGUUGAUCUCCGUUAGUUGGUUGGAUUGGAGAGGGAGAGAGUUUUUCAGGCCUUUGGUGGUGGCUCUACCUUUGUAGCUCCAUCAGAUUUUGUAGUAAUGGUUUCUUUCGUUUUUUCCAGUCUAAGAUGAAUUAUCUUGGAUGGUGACUUUCCAUGUGGGAAUGACAGGAGCACAUUUUCUUGGCGCUGCUGUUUUGAAUGGAGACGUCCCUUUUUCUCAGCUCUUGCAGCUCGGCUCUGCGGCCUACCUAAAGCUGACACGCCGAAGUUGAAGUCUUGGUUGCUUUCCACUUUUGCCAAAAGAGACUUCGCAGCGCAUCGUCUUUGUAUGUAUCUCUAACGCAGGUUUUGUUUGGACACAACAAACACUCCAGCGGCUAUAAUACAAAUCCUGCAUCGCAACCGUGUGACAGUCUCGCGUGGGGAGACGUGUGAUGGAUGACCUCUAGCACUAGCUAGCAAAGUUAAUGAACGGAUAGCUAGCAGCCAUCGUAGCUUGAUUGCACCUGGCCGAGCUUGGGCUUGCCCUGCUGCAAGCAAGUCACUUGUGGGACCGUGGGUGAGAAGAUCUCGCCGUAAGAAUUCCAGCAAAAGGCUGGAAUGUCGUCGUAGCCCCUGGCUGAGAGGAGCUCGACGUUGGCCACCACGAUGCCGACGCAGGGGACGCUGUCGCUGCAUGCAAAGUGGAUGUUGCUCUUCUGCGUGUAGGUGCCCCGGAUGUUCUUGUAGGAAACGUCCGAGAUGGAGACCCCGGAUGUCUGGUUGUGGCAGCUCCGGCCGUCGCAGUAGAACUGGUCGAUGACGAUCGGAUUGCUCACGUUGAGCACGGCGAUGUUGUGGAAAUGGACGCUGCUCACGGAGCCAGACCCGCCCUGGUUGCACGAGCAUUUGUGUAUGACAAGGAACCGAAACAAGAAACGAGAGAACCUGCCAGGUCUUGAUGCGGACUCCGUUCUGGGAGGUGUGAACUACAACGUCGUGGACGGAGACGUCGGAUACACAGGCCUUGGUUCCUCCUCGUCCCAGCCCACCAAUGCUGGACAAGAGAGCGCGAGUGUGUGAGAAAAACUUGUGUGUCUACAAGGUACCUUAUGCCGUGGCCCGGACCACACAUCAUGUCGAAUAUCUCAAUGUUGGAGCAGCCAGUCUGGAUGGAAACGCAGUCGUCUCCUGCACAAUCUCGAGCUGUCAAAAACUUAAACUCUUUCUCCUCGACCGUUUGCUUACCAGUUGACACCCGGGAGCUCCGCACGGCCGCGUAUCGUGUGUCCUGCAGGUGAAUCCCAUCGGUGUUGGGGCUGGUGUAGGGAGAAGAGAUGGUCACAUUGUUGACGACGACACCUUGGCAGCUGUCGAACUUGAGAUGCGUUUGGGGGCUGUUGACAAUGGCCAAGUGCUGCACAACCACGUUGCUGCUGCCAUAGAAGCGUACAGCCUGCGCAGGGGCAGGGGACUCACAUUAUCACGCAGUCCGAGCGUAAGAUCUGAAAGAAUAUGUAUGUAGUUGUUGGAACUAACUUACAGUUGGGAUAUCACAGGAUUUGGAUGUCUUGUGACCCUGCGAAAUCAAGUUGCAAGUUCCAUUUGCCAGGCGUCAGAGAACUUAUUUCUAGUCCCUUACCUUUGCCUUGCAAGAAGAAUUCCACCACGCAGGGCCAUUUCCAUUUAUCGCGCCAGUGCAGCUCCCCUGGAGGAGUAAUCCGUGAACUCUCGCAAACUCGAUCCAUUGGAGCAAGCUCGUUCCGUUCCAGGCCUUGGCGCUAGUUGGAGCGACGAUGGUGCCAUCCACCUGAGAGAGAGAGAGAGAGAGAGAGAGAGAGAGAGGGAGAGAGAGAGAGAGCCUUUUAAGAGACAACACUCUGACUGUAGGGAUUUCAGAACAAACAGACCUGAAAGACGAGAUUGUUUUGGCAUGGCCCCGAGAAGACAAGCGGCUUCACCAAGAACACAAAAUUCGCAGGAACUUCAACCAUGGAGGAUUCCACCUUGCAUGCUUGGUUCCAAGCUGCUAGGAAUGCCUGAGGCCAGACAAUGUGAGGAAACCGAGAAAGAAGAAGAAGAAAAGCCUGCCGCUUACGUGCGUAUCAUCGGUGACUCCAUCUCCUUUAGCUCCAAAAGAGAGAACGUCGUAGAUGUUGGUGCUGUAGUAGCCAUAUCCUCCAUUGCUUGGCUCAGGUGCUGCUGCUGGACCUCCUCCAUCUCCUCCGCUUUUGUGCCCGAUUGUUGAGCUCGAUCCUCCUCCUCCUCCUCCUCCUCCAGCAUACUUGGAGCGACCACUUGAUCUUGCAUCGACCACCAGGAACGCCACCACUAGUGUGACAAGCCUCCAAAGGGCCAUUGUCAUUCCUUCUCCCUCUCCCUGUCUGAGAAGGAAAGACAAGCGUAUCAGAGAGCUCUGUAUUUAUACUUACACAUCCGCUGGAACACAGGCCCGUGACAAGCUGCAGCGCUGUUCACUGUUCCAGUAUUUAACGUCGAAACUUGCGGAAGAGAGAAAAAGUAUUCUUUUUCUUCUUUCUUUUCUGUGUUUUUAUUCCCUUUCACAAGCAAUUCACCUUUGCUCUUCAGUACAACAGUCUGCUUCUCGUCUGUUAGAUGUAAGGACCAAGGUUACCAUCCCAAAAUUUCCCUAGACAGAAAAAUCACCGUCGUCCAAGAGAAUGUAAGCUCUACAGUCACGACAAUCAAUUUCGACCCCAAAACCGUCCUCCAAUUUUCAUGCUGAGUAGUAAACUCGAGGUUUAGUGCCACCGUGAUUUGCGUUCCAUAAAUCUCGAGCACGGUGUCACACUCCAAUCCCAGGUCAAUUUGACUUUGAUGGAAACUCUCUGCCAAUCCAGUGCUACAACGAUUCUUUUGCCAGAGAGGGGCCCUGCCCAGACCUGUUUCAAGGAUUUAAAUCAGCUCAACACUCGAAGGAGUUUUCCAGAUGUUUAAAUGGGAACGCCGCGAGACUUAAGCGCCCGUUGCCAACCUGAAGCAUAUCAGGAUCCAGAGACCAGCUCUAAAAUGUCAAUACAAGAGGCAUUCUGCCAGUAUGGAGGAUUUAUCUGUGUAAAGAGAGACAGAGGUUGUUCACCGUUGGCAUCGGCCAAAAGCUUAAUUCCCAGAAGAGGAAAAGCUUCAAAUACCCUUCCCAUCUGUCCUCAGGAGUUGGUAUAUUUUUCCUGCCCACAAUGCGCAGGGCAUGCCCUGCUUUCAGAUACAACCACUGAAAUGUACUCACCAUUUGCAACCAGUGGUUCUCCCUCUUUUAUUGAGACAUUCUAGCUACAAGCAACUGCGGAACACGGGGGGUCAAGCACACCUGAGUGAAGGACCUCAGGGUUAGAGAGACACUUGAAAGGACACUUGAACGUAAUUUUGGGCUCCUGUGUACUAGCUUGCAUUCUCUUGGCUUCUACUAUCACCUGCUGACAAAGAGCAAGAUCACUCACUCACAUCGAAGUCUUACGCUUCAUCGGAGUCGGCUUCUUCCUUUGCCACUUUGCGUUGUCUUCUCACCUGCAUUCAUCACCUCGACACAAGUCAUUUGUCGUUGAUGUCCGGAGAUUUCUCGCGGUGCCUGCUCAACCCUAGUAUUCUUUUAUGGCGGAUGGAGGCGAGAGCAAGGUUCUCGGGAGCUGUGGAAACCAUUGGAAGUAUGAGAGGGUGGUCCUCUCGUUGAGCACAUCCCAGUACUCGUGCCAUUGCACGAGGUUUGAUGCUCACAAAGCUCUGUUCUAGCUUUCUCUAUGUUGCUUCUUGGCUAGAUUCAUCUCGUUGCUCGGAUUUAAAUUUGAUGUUGUUACUUCCAUACCCUCCAUUUCUGACUGACAAGGCUCCGAUCUGACUGGGUCGUUUAAUCUCUGCAUCUUGGUGCUGCUUUUGAAGGUUGUCGAAGUCCUUAUGGUCCUCUCCUGCAGCAAGGCGGUCUGCUCGGUCGAUCGUUCUAUGUCCAAUACAUGAUCCAAGAAAGAAGAAUGAGCGCACACUAGGAAGAGUUUAGACAGAGAUAAAGUAGAUAUAAAGAUUAUGGAUGAUCCGAUUGCGAGCGUACAAAGGCAAAUCGAAGCAGUAACGAUUCACGGAUGAAUUGGCCACAAUUUGUGCUACUACGUUGAAGAAGUCUGCUAAACCUGUCAAGGAGAAGAGUUUCUGGUUUCAGCAAUUAAGAAUGUGCAGCAGAAACAGGAUGGAAUGAAGCAGCUCUAAGUCUCUACUGAAAGCUCAACAAAACACAAAUUGUGCACGGUUGAUUCACAUGCAUGAAUAUCAUUACAAGGCUGAUAAACAGUGCUUCCCUAAGAUUGAGGUAAAGUUGCAAGGCAAGAUCAUGGAGUUUUUUAAAAGUUGAAUGGCAGUAGCUGAGAUAAGGCGCAAUUUGGCUACUCUGGAGGAGCGCCAAUCAGACUCAUGUAGCUCAGAUCAGCCACAAUUAUGAUGCUGGACAUGCAAAUUGAGCAGCUUAAAUCUCAGCUUGAGGUUGCCUGAAGGAUUCAGAUCUCAGAAGCAAUAUGAUGUGUUGGACUGCCAACAUGGUCGAAUGCGUGCUCAAUUGAAGAUUCAGCCCAAGAUGCUAGCUUCUCUCAAGACAGCGCUGCUAUACAACAAGUCUGGUAACCCCAUCAGCAUGCUAGAAGACGACAUGGUCGAGAAGGGUACCAUUCUGAUUCGAGAAUGCCCUCUAUGAACAAUAUUGCGGUGGCCAGCUGUACGUGCACAUCCCAUUUCGGCAUGCGAGCUGGUUGCGGGCCACCUUGAGCAAUUGAAUGGCUCACAGGACUCGUCUUAGCACACUACAAGUGUUAUCACGAAAGCUUCAGGCAUGUACUUCGUUUUUACUAACUUUAGUAGCAUGAAAGCUCUUCACAUGGUAGAUUGCACUUAGAUUUACAAGCUUCAAACCUGUGUGAGGAAGCCAGUCAUCUAUUUUUUCUCAUAGGGACUCAGCCAUGCAGGCUGAUUACCUUUGUUGAGCAGUGUAAGGCACUUGGCCAACCCAACAUACGACUUAGUGAUGCUAUGAAAACCAGAGAUUGUUGCCCUGCUCUUUGUACAGCAAAGAAGUUGCUCAGCCUUACAAGACAGCAACAUAGUGAUAUGAGCAUCGUGCAUACCCAUGCUAGUAAGUGACCAUGGUAAGCAAUCUUGCUUCUGGGCUAACCAAUGCAGUGACUUUGCAUUAUCAAUAACUGAUAGAGCUGGACUCGUUUGACGCUUGUCAACUCUAUUCACCCAACUGUCUCGCACACAAGCAAUGACAAAUCAAUCAAACAGAGUAUUUGCUUCU
rnacentral:lncRNA from 1 species